UUGAGUUUCCUACUGUGUAAUUUAAAAAUACAUUUCCUGUUGAUACUACCAGAUCCUAGAACCCUAUCGAUAUUGUCUCUGCUGUGUACAUAGCUGUGAGUAGUGCAAUAUUGCUUAUAGGGUUUUAGUGUUUGGAAAGAACAGUGGCCA